AUUGAACGCUGGCGGCAGGCCUAACACAUGCAAGUCGAGCGGAUGAAGGGAGCUUGCUCCUGGAUUCAGCGGCGGACGGGUGAGUAAUGCCUAGGAAUCUGCCUGGUAGUGGGGGAUAACGUCCGGAAACGGGCGCUAAUACCGCAUACGUCCUGAGGGAGAAAGUGGGGGAUCUUCGGACCUCACGCUAUCAGAUGAGCCUAGGUCGGAUUAGCUAGUUGGUGGGGUAAAGGCCUACCAAGGCGACGAUCCGUAACUGGUCUGAGAGGAUGAUCAGUCACACUGGAACUGAGACACGGUCCAGACCCCUACGGGAGGCAGCAGUGGGGAAUAUUGGACAAUGGGCGAAAGCCUGAUCCAGCCAUGCCGCGUGUGUGGAGAAGGUCUUCGGAUUGUAAAGCACUUUAAGUUGGGAGGAAGGGCAGUAAGUUAAUACCUUGCUGUUUUGACGUUACCAACAGAAUAAGCACCGGCUAACUUCGUG
rnacentral:rRNA from 1 species